GCGGAAUUCCUAGUGUAGCGGUGAAAUGCGUAGAUAUUAGGAAGAACACCAGUGGCCGAAAGCGGCUCUCUGGCUUGACCCUGACGCUGAGGCACGAAAGCUAGGGGAGCGAACGGAUUAGAUACCCGGUAGUCCUGCUGUAACGCUGGAUACUAGGUGUUGGGGGUUCAACUCCCUCAGUGCUGCAGUUAACGCGUUAAGUAUCCGCCUGGGUAUUACGACCGCAAGGUUGAAUCUCAAAGGAAUUGACGGGGGCCUGCACAAGCGGCGGAGCAUGUGGUUUAAUUCGAAGAACGCGAAGAACCUUACCAGGGCUUGACAUCCCGUGACUA
rnacentral:rRNA from 1 species